rnacentral:lncRNA from 1 species
UGACAGAUGAGACUUUCAUGCAAGAAAAUAAAUCCUGCACAUUUGAUGUACUGCUUUAAACUUAAAGACCUCUUUGGACCCGAAAUUGUAAGAUCCUGAGUGGCAACUGGAAAGGAUUCGUGGUUACUUGGAUCUAGGAAAAUCCUGUUUUAUCUCUGAUGGGACUAAGACAAAGCACUCCUGUUAGUACAACCCAGCUUGCGUUCCUCCCUGCCUGCAGAGGAAGCAUUUGGAUGCUUCCCUUCCCGUUGGAAGUUGCCAGUCUCUCUUCAGAGUGAUGAGGGCAGAACUGGUCAUUACGGAAAGAGUCGGAGGAACGGUGCCACAGCAUCAGGUUCAGGUUAACCACCUGGGACGGUAAACUACCGAAGUCUGCUUCUGCUUCCAAAGGAGAACCGCAGUGAAAGUGGUGGACAUGUCCUACCAUCUGUAAGCUCAAGAUCCUCUAGAGAACUGCAGGAUUCAGGGUGCUCUACUGACAGUACCUGGGGCAGCCGGAUCAGGAAAGAGUUUGUCUAGCCACAGUUGUCCCUUGCAGUCAGCUACAGAAGACCCAGUGCUGUGAGAAAAUCAGACAGAAGUAUUUCCAAGACUUUCCAUGUCUGACUAACCAAGGUAAAAUCAGGAACUAACCUAACAGCUUCUGCACCAUGGCAGAAGAGUUUGCAGAAAUGUACCUGUUUUACUUUUCAAUAGAUUAUAUUUUAACACUCAUCUUACAAGACCACUGCUACCCUUUGGAUUCCUCAUGUCGGAAUCAGACACCAGGAUUCUAUAAACCUGGAGAGUAAUCCUAAGAAAAAUCAUCAGAAGAAAGGAAUUUGUAGAACUAAAACUGCAAACAUCCAGAAUCUUGAUGGUGUGCCAAGCCAAAUGUCAACUGGAACUCAACCAAAAACUAAGCCUUUACUGAUCACAUGUUUCCUCUGUCUUGAAUGGAUAGCAGCAUCGACUGUUGCAAUAAAUUCUCCACUCCGCAGACCUGGGCAGCCCACACCUGUGCCAGAAAUUAUGCACCAGAUGGCAACUGAAAAUGACUGGAUAUCUAUGAGAAGAGGAUAUUUAGAGAAAAUACACAUUUACAAGUAAAGCAAGAUUUUUAAAUCAACAAUUCCUGUACUGAAAUGUUACAUUUGUUAAAUAAAUAAAUAUAUCUUGGACUGCAGAAAUACGGUGCUCUCUGAUAACAGACCCAAAGAAAGAGUGGGUUCAAGCAAUUCUUCUGCCUCAGCCUCCCAAGUAGCUGGGAUUACAGGUGUACGCCAUUGUGUCCGGAAUUGGUGGGUUCUUGGUCUCACUGACUUCAAGAAUGAAGCCGUGGACCCUCGCGCAUGUCCCUGAAAUGGAGCGAAGGAUACACCAAAGGAAGAGUUGCUACAUCCCAUCUCUCCUGGGAAAGGAACAUGCUGCAGGGAGAGAGUUGCGAGAGCUCUUCACCCUUCUACCCUGCAGCAAAGGAAAAUGGGUCUCCUCAAGGAAGGCAUUUCCCCACAGCAAAGCUGCAAGCAACAUGAAAUAAUGCACCAUGACUAUGGGUUCUUGGCAAAGGAUUCCUGGCCUGGUACAGUUAGAAAUUGGGCUCUAUUCUCAAGCAAAGGGUUCCAACAAAAAAAUACCGCAGCAAGCAGACCGUGGAAUGUGCUUCUCCACUCUUCCAUACGGGGUGAUGGCACAGAAUCAGAGUUGAACAUGGGAGGGAAGUGGAAGGGAUAAAAAUGUAAUGGAAUUGCAGAGUUGUUGGCAUUCAGAUGUGUAGGUGGUGGGUGGCAAGUCCUGCUUAUUGCCUGUGG